GGUUAAGUGACUAAGCGUACACGGUGGAUGCCUGGGCAGUCAGAGGCGAUGAAGGACGUACUAACUUGCGAUAAGCGCAGAUAAGGCAGUAAGAGCCGUUUGAGUCUGCGAUUUCCGAAUGGGGAAACCCAACUGCAUAAGCAGUUACUGUUAACUGAAUACAUAGGUUAACAGAGCAAACCGGGGGAACUGAAACAUCUAAGUACCCCGAGGAGAAGAAAUCAACCGAGAUUCCGGUAGUAGCGGCGAGCGAACCUGGAUUAGCCCUUAAGCACUCGGUGAAGUAGGUGAACAAGCUGGAAAGCUUGGCGAUACAGGGUGAUAGCCCCGUAACCGACGCUUCAUCGAGCGUGAAAUCGAGUAGGGCGGGACACGUGAUAUCCUGUCUGAAUAUGGGGGGACCAUCCUCCAAGGCUAAAUACUCCUGACUGACCGAUAGUGAACCAGUACCGUGAGGGAAAGGCGAAAAGAACCCCUGUGAGGGGAGUGAAAUAGAACCUGAAACCGUGUACGUACAAGCAGUAGGAGCACCUUCGUGGUGUGACUGCGUACCUUUUGUAUAAUGGGUCAGCGACUUAUAUUCAGUGGCAAGGUUAACCGUAUAGGGGAGCCGUAGCGAAAGCGAGUCUUAACUGGGCGCUCAGUCUCUGGAUAUAGACCCGAAACCGGGUGAUCUAGCCAUGGGCAGGUUGAAGGUUGAGUAACAUCAACUGGAGGACCGAACCGACUAAUGUUGAAAAAUUAGCGGAUGACUUGUGGCUAGGGGUGAAAGGCCAAUCAAACUCGGAGAUAGCUGGUUCUCCCCGAAAGCUAUUUAGGUAGCGCCUCGGACGAAUACUACUGGGGGUAGAGCACUGUUAAGGCUAGGGGGUCAUCCCGACUUACCAACCCUUUGCAAACUCCGAAUACCAGUAAGUACUAUCCGGGAGACACACGGCGGGUGCUAACGUCCGUCGUGGAGAGGGAAACAACCCAGACCGCCAGCUAAGGUCCCAAAGUAUUGCUAAGUGGGAAACGAUGUGGGAAGGCUCAGACAGCUAGGAUGUUGGCUUAGAAGCAGCCAUCAUUUAAAGAAAGCGUAAUAGCUCACUAGUCGAGUCGGCCUGCGCGGAAGAUGUAACGGGGCUAAGCAAUACACCGAAGCUGCGGCAAUGUCUUUUAGAUAUUGGGUAGGGGAGCGUUCUGUAAGCCGUUGAAGGUGAAUCGUAAGGUUUGCUGGAGGUAUCAGAAGUGCGAAUGCUGACAUGAGUAACGACAAAGGGGGUGAAAAACCUCCUCGCCGGAAGACCAAGGGUUCCUGUCCAACGUUAAUCGGGGCAGGGUGAGUCGACCCCUAAGGUGAGGCCGAAAGGCGUAAUCGAUGGGAAACGGGUUAAUAUUCCCGUACUUCUGACUAUUGCGAUGGGGGGACGGAGAAGGCUAGGUGGGCCAGGCGACGGUUGUCCUGGUUCAAGUGCGUAGGCUUGAGAGUUAGG
rnacentral:rRNA from 1 species